UAUUGGAUUUGUUGAAAGGGGGAAGGAAAAUAUGGUAUGCAAUCUCAAAAAGUCAAUAUAUAGCUUAAAAUAGGCAUCAGGGCAAUGGUAUUUGAAAUUUGAUCAAAUUGUCUAUGCACAAGGUUUUGUAGAGAAUAAGCUGGAUGAUUGCAUAUAUAUUAAGUUCUCAGGAUCCAAAUUCAUUUUCCCAGUGCUUUAUGUUGAUGAUAUUCUUCUUGCUAGUUCAUGUCCACAAUUGCUUCAAAGUGUGAGGUUUAAUAUGGAAAGCUGCAACAAUGGUCAAGUUCAGUCAAUAAAAGAGAUAAGUUCUCGGAAAAUCAGUGUCUAAAAACUGAUUUGGAAAUGAAGAAAAUGCAGUCUAAACCUUAUGCUUUAUUGGUUGGAAGUCUCAUGUAUGCAAAUAAACAAGAGGUUAUAUCUUCAUGCUCAAUGGAAGGGCAAUUUCAUAGAAAAGUACAAGACAAACUAUCAUAGCUACAUCUAUUACGGAGGCUGAAUUUGUAGCUUGUUUUGAAGGCAUGAAACAAGCAGCUUGGUUGAAGAAUUUCUUGAUAGAAUUAAAGAUUGUGAAUUCGAUUCAGAAGCCUGUUAAGAUGUUUUGUGAUAACAACUCGGCUGUAUUCUUUGCCAAGAAUAAUAGGCGUACUUCAGCUUCAAGGUUGAUGGAUGUAAAAUUUCUUAAAGUCAGAGAAUAGGUAAAGAAAUGAGUUAUUAAAGUGCAGCACAUAAGCACUGCUAUGAUGCUUACUAACCUCUUGACUAAGGCACUACCUUGUAGAGAAUUUGAAAAACAUGUUCUUGGAUGGGAGUGCUAGAGGGUUUUGAUUGGUGGGAGUAAUCAAGUGUGUUUCAAGAGCUUGGGAUUGCAGCUAUAUGUGAUUUGGAACAAUGAGUGCAAUUCUGACAAGUUGAGGUUAAUUUAUGCAUAGCUAGUUUGCUAGUUUGAUUUUCUGUUUUUAAUAAAUGUCUUUGUCUCGAGACUCAAUGGUUUAGUUUUGAAGUAUUGUAGUUCUGAUGAUGAACUAAGUUAGAAGUUAGAUUCAUUUGACACUUUGGAAAAACAGUUUGUCUGUUUUAAAGUUUAUAGUUAAUGAAUUUUAUUUCGUCAUUAAUAUGUUGCUUUUCAUUGAAGAUUAAUAUGUGUUAUGAUCUUUUGAAAAGUGGGAGAAUAAUCUUAACUGUUUAUAUCAGCCUAAGCCAUGAGUCAUAUUUGCAUAUUGGAUAUAUGUGAACUUUGAUUCAAUACUGCAUUUUGGUUGUAGUAUGAGAUUCUUGGUUUUUGUAUUUUGAAAUGUAAUGGGAAGUUAGUCAUGAUGGUAAAUCUUGAAUAAGGCUAUGUGAUCACUUCUUAUAAUUGGUGAAAGCUAUGCUUGAUCUUUGUCUCAAGUUCAUGUGGGAGAAUGUAAGAAUAUGAACAUAAGAUUAUGUGAUCUGGCAUUAGCUAUUUGAGACCAAUUGGUAUAAGAAAGCCUUAAUAGAGGAUUAUGUUGCAGUAAUGAACUAUAUGGAUUGGGAAAACAUAAGCUGUUUUCCAUAAGGAUUCUAAUAUGGAGUCAUUAUUCUAUUAUGAGAAGGAUAUGUGUAUGUAUAUAUAUACAACAACCUCUCCUCUCACAGGAACAUGCUCUUUUGGAACUAAGCCCUAUUCUUAGUUUGAGCAAUAAGCAUCCUGAUAGAGAGAAGAAUAGCCACUGUGCAUUCAGGUUGAUUGUGAAUAACCAUGGCUGCAUCCAAUGGAAGUUCUCCAAUGAUUUGAGGGGAGUGGAUGGACAUGUGAAUGGAUCGUUUGAGGAUGACGAAAGAACAUAUGGAGAUUUUACAAGCCAUACAUUUGAUGGUGGACUUUUUAGAUUUUAGAGAGCCCGGCGUGAAAAUGUCAAACAAUGAAGAUGAAAUGUCAGAUGAAGAUGAAAUCAGGUUUGAGAGUAUUACUCGAGCUACUGUUGUCCAUGCGAGUCGCCAAACCAACCAGGCUGCCCAUCGUCUUGCACGUUAUGCCCUCUCCUCCCUGCGAGUGUUCUUGGUUCGAGGAACCCCCAGAUAUUCUUCUUGUUAUUUCGUUAUCUGACAGUAGUGUUUAAGGGUGAUGGUGUUCUUUCCCAGCCUCUAUGUAAUUGCUACUGUUUUAAACCUUCUUAUUAUUAUGAAUACAUGCCGCUGCUUUAAAAAAACUAGGGUCCGCUUUAUGAAUAAUUUUAUAGAUAAUUUUACUUUUAUAUAUAUUCUUGUGGUUGAUCUGUUUAGAAACAUUCCUAAAAUUUCUUCUGAGAAUAAUUGCUUUGAUUUGUUUCUCCUGUAGUAGUAAGAGCAUGCAUGAUUUGUUAUUUCAAUGUUUCUGAUUAAUCGAAUUGAGGAUCGUCAGCUUUUGGUGCCUGCUUGUCCUAUGUUUUAGUUAGUUAAUUUCUUUUGUUUUAUUAUUUUGUAGUGAUUUUUUGGAGAGAGGAUGAUCCAUGGAUGGAUGGUCCGAGGAUCACCAAAGAACGUAGCUACACGGAGUUAUACAUUCUUAUUUUGUAGUGAUUUUGUGAGUUAUAGAACUUUUUUUUUUAUACAAACGAUAGGAUAAUCUA